rnacentral:ncRNA from 1 species
UUGUGGUAAUUUAGUAUUUACCUAUAAAAGAUAAUAAUCUACUGUCGUAGUAAAACCCUUUUAACUGCUGGAAAAUCCUAUAUGGACAAUCAGCAUCCAAGCAUCUUUAAUUCAUUUAAAGAUGAAGGUUCAACGACUAUCGAAACCACUCUAACAGAUCGUUGUGAUAACGCUAGUUAGAAGGAAGGGAGUAGAGUACAGCCAAGCGGUAGAGGUAUUCCGUAAUAAGGUUAUAAUUCCUCUUUAAAUGGAAACGGAGGGCACAAUUAUAUUGUGAAGAUAUAGUCUCAUCUCUAUGGAAACAUAGAG